GGCGUGUGUGCCGUGUCGUGUUUGUCAUCCUUCCAGAGAGCUGCGUCUACCAUUCACUUGGCCGGACGUACGCGAUCUGGAUCGAUUACUUUGAAAAAAUUAGAGUGUUUAAAGCAGGCUUACGCUGUGAAUACAUUAGCAUGGAAUAAUAAUUUAGGACUUCGGUUCUAUUUUGUUGGUUUCUAGGACUGAAGUAAUGAUUGAUAGGGACAGUUGGGGGUGCUAGUAUUCCGCGGCCAGAGGUGAAAUUCUUGGAUUCGCGGAAGACUAACUACUGCGAAAGCAUUCACCAAGGAUGUCUUCUUUAAUCAAGAACGAAAGUUGGGGGAUCGAAGACGAUCAGAUACCGUCGUAGUCUCAACCAUAAACUAUACCGACUAAGGAUCAGUGAACGUUGAUUUACGACUUCAUUGGCACUUUGUGAGAAAUCAAAGUCUUUGGGUUCCGGGGGGAGUAUGGUCGCAAGGCUGAAACUUAAAGGAAUUGACGGAAGGACACCACCAGGAGUGGAACCUGCGGCUUAAUUUGACUCAACACGGGAAAACUUACCAGGUCCAGACACAGGAAGGAUUGACAGAUUGAAGCUCUUUCUUGAUUCUGUGGGGAGUGGUGCAUGGCCGUUCUUAGUUGGUGGAUUGACCUGUCUGGUUUAUUCCGAUAACGAACGAGACCUUAGUCUGCUAAAUAGUGUUGCGAACCACCUAACGGGUGAAUCCAGGGAGGUACUGGGGCUUCG
rnacentral:rRNA from 1 species